CGGAGUGGGUGCAUGAUCGCUCCGCUUUAAGCGGGGAGGAAAGUCCGAACUCCACAGGGCAGGGUGGUUCGUAACACGAACGCCGGGUGACCGGCGGAAAGUGCCACAGAAAAUAUACCGCCCCGGCAUGCCGGGGUAAGGGUGAAAUGGUGAGGUAAGAGCUCACCGCUCUCAUGGUGACAUGCGAGGCAUGGUAAACCCCACCCGGAGCAAGACCAAAUAGGGGAACGCUGCAGGGCUGCCCGCCCGAAGUUCCCGGGUAGGUUGCUAGAGGUGCCGGGUGACCGGUAUCCCAGAGAAAUGAUCAUGGCCCGGCAACGGGUACAGAAUUCGGCUUAUAGUCCACUCCGGUCU
rnacentral:RNase_P_RNA from 1 species